AGAAUCAACGCUGGCGGCGUGCCUAACGCAUGCAAGUCGAACGAGAAAGUGGAGCAAUCCAUUAGUAAAGUGGCGCACGGGUGAGUAACACGUGACUAACCUACCCUUGAGUGGGGGAUAACCUAGGGAAACCUGGGCUAAUACCGCAUAAUACCUUCGGGUCAAAGGAGCAAUUCGCUUAAGGAGGGGGUCGCGGCCGAUUAGUUAGUUGGCGGGGUAAUGGCCCACCAAGACGAUGAUCGGUAUCCGGUCUGAGAGGGCGCACGGACACACUGGAACUGAAACACGGUCCAGACUCCUACGGGAGGCAGCAGUGGGGAAUUUUGCGCAAUGGGGGAAACCCUGACGCAGCAACGCCGCGUGGAGGAUGAAGCCCCUUGGGGCGUAAACUCCUUUCGAUCGGGACGAUUAUGACGGUACCGGAAGAAGAAGCCCCGGCUAACUUCGUGCCAGCAGCCGC
rnacentral:rRNA from 1 species